AUUCAUGAGAGACAGAGAGAGAGAGGCAGGGACACAGGCAGAGGGAGAAGCAGGCUCCAUGCAGGGAGCCUGACAUGGGACUCGAUCCCGGGUCUCCAGGAUUACACCCUGGGCUGCAGGCGGCACUAAACUGCUGUGCCACCCGGGCUGCCCUAUUUUUCAAUUUUUUAAAGAUUUCUUUAAAUCUUUAAUCUGUAUACCCAAUGUGGGGCUCAAACUCACAAUCCUGAGAUCAAAAUUCACACGUUCCUCCAACUAAGCCAGUCAGACUCCCCAGCUCUAAAUUUAAAUUUAUGAUCCAUUUGAAUAAAUAUUUGCGUAUAGCGUGAGGUAAGGAUCAAAGUUCUUUUUUCUCUCCACAUACAAGAAUAUCCAAUUAUUCAAUCACUAUUUUUUUUGAAAAAAAGGUUACCCUUUCCCUCAUUGAAUUGUUUUAGCAGAUUUGUUGAAAAUUAAUUGACCAUAAAUAUAAGUUUAUUUCUGGGCUUUCUAUUCUGUACUAUUGAUCUCUCCUUGUGACAAUAUCACAGUCUUCAUUACUGUAGCUUUAUAAUAAGUUUUGAAAUCAGUCAAAGUAUGCCACUUUAGCUUUUCUUUUUCUAAAUUGUUUUGGCUAUUCUGGUCCUUUUGCAUUUCCAUAUAGCUUUUAGGAUCAAACUUGUCAAUUUCUAAAAAAGAAAAAAGCCUGCUGGGGUUUUGAUAGAAAUUACAUUUGAAUUUAUAGAUCAGUUUGAAGAGAACUGUCAUCUUAACAAUGUGUUUAAUCCAUGAACAUGGUAUGUUUACUUAUCUAGAUCUUUUCUUUUUCUCAGCAAUGUUUCAUAGUUUUCAGUACAUAGGUUUUAUAUUAAAUUUGGAUUUUUCUGAUAUUCUUUCAUUUUCAGAUUGUUCACUAAUGACAUAUAAUAAUGUAUUGAUUUCUGUUAUGUAGACCUCAUAUCCUUUGAUGUUACUAGACUUAAUUUUUUUAAAGCCCUCGUUUCUCAUGUGUAAAAUGGGGAUAGAUAUACCUAGCAAGAUUUUUGUGUGAAAUAAUAUACAUAAAAUCAUGACAGAAGGAUAGAAGCGAAGUCUCCCUACCUCCUACCCCAAAAUAAUUGCCUAAAAUGUGUGAUCACAUUAUUUUGAGGAAAGUGAAAUGACCAGGUAGACGGCAGGAGCCAGUCACCAAUAGUACUGCAUCUGAAUUUGCAUAAUCAAGGAUUUGCUGCAUUUCCAUGAGUGUAGUGAAUAGAUGUUGGUUGAUAUUUUCUAUCAUCUGCAUGUACUGUUUUUAUAAUUGGAAAAAAAACGAAAAAUGUAGGAUGCCUGGGUGGCUCAGUGGUUGAGCAUCUGCCUUCAGCUCAGGGCGUGAUCACGCGAUCCAGGGAUUGAGUCCCACUACUCCCUAGCCUGCUUUUCCCUCUGCCUCUGUCUCUGCCUCUCUCUUUCUGUGUCUCUCAUGAAUAAAUAAAUAAAAUCUUUUUUAAAAACAGAAACAAAAAAUGUAAUUUCUUAAAAAUUAAAAAAUAUGAAAUUUAAUUUCAUAGAAAGGAAAAAUAAAAGGACACAGAAAUGCUUGAGUUCAAUUUGCUGAGAUCAAAUAAAUAUAUUUCCAGGAAAAUUGUAUAGUGCUGGGCACCGGAGCCACAAAAGGAAGAUGUGUAAUUUGUGAACUAAUGCACUGCUCAGCGGGGUGUGGUACCUCAACAACUACUAAAGCAGAUCCAGUGGGACACCUGGGUGGCUCAAGUGGUUGAGCGUCUGCCUUUGGCUCAGGGUAUGAUCCUGGAGUUCCAAGAUCGAGUCCUGCAUUGGGCUCCUGCAUGGAGCCUGCUUCUCCUCCUUCUGCCUAUGUCUCUGCCUCUCUCUGUGUCUCUCAUGAAUUAAUAAAUAAAAUCUUAAAAAAAAAUAAAGCAGAUGCAGAAAAGGCAUAUUUCCCUGGGGCCUCCUAUCCAUCCUAAUUUCUCAAACUUUCAACUACUAUGGCAGCUUUAAUCUAUUUUAUAUGUUGAAGUUCCACAUAAGAUUAUAUUUGAGGGGCACACCUGAGUGGCUCAGUCAGUUAAGUGGUAGACUGGAUUUUGACUCAGGUCAUGAUCUCAGGGUCCUGGGAUUGACCCCUGCAUCAGGCUCCACGCUCAGCAGGGAUUCUGCUUACGGAUUCUCUCUUUCCCUCUCCUGCUGUCCCUGCCAUGCUCAAGCACUCUCUCUCUAAAACAAAUAAUCUUUAAAAAAAAAAAAAAAAAAGAAGAAGACUAAAUUCAAAUAAACUGGUCUAAUAAAAGAAAGAGGUGAAAACUGAGAGGCAGCCUAUUAUAAUACUGGACUGAAGGAUUCAUGAUCCAAGUUUUAUUCUAGUCGCUGUACAUACACAGCCAUGUGAAAGGCACAAUUGUAGUUGUCACCUGUCAAAAAUGCUGGCAUUUUUUUCUAGGUAAAUUUUGACAUCACUUAUCCAAUACUUGUUGAGUGUAAUGAGCGCGAUAUUAUGCAUAUAUCCAUGAUAAACUAAUUAGUGAAGAAAAAGAGCAAAGAGCAUCUUGAGGGUUAUCAGCAAAGUCUUCAUCUUUGUGCAGAUGUGCAGACAUCUCCUGAUUGGAUUUAAAAAAAAAGGUAGAGGCAUUAUAGGUAGAAAGAACGAUACAUUUAGAAGUAAUUAAUAAUAAACAGCUACCACUGAAUGGAUACUUUAUGCACGGAAUUUUAUCCUCACAACCAGCCAUGGAAGCAGAGGUUAGCAUUCCAAUGCAUAGGCGAGGGUAUGGCCAAAUCACAGAAUGCUUGAGUGGCAGGGCCGUAUUUGAAACUGGGGUCGUCGGAUUUCGAAGCCAAGACUCUGGGUGCAAACAGGUGCAUACACUGGAGAGGCGUGAAGCAGCGGGGUGCUGCUGGAUUUCGAAGCCGAGACUCUGGGUGCAAAUAGGUACAUACACUGGAGAGGUGUGGACUAGCGAGGUGCUGCUGGAUUUCGAAGCUGAGACUCUGAGUGCAAAUAGGUACAUACACUGGAGAGGCGUGAGGUGUGAAGCAGCGAGGUGCUGCUGGAUUUCGAAGCCGAGACUGGGUGCAAGCAGGUGCAUACACUGGAGAGGUGUGGAGUAGCGAGGUGCUGCUGGAUUUCGAAGCUGAGACUCUGGGUGCAAACAGGUGCAUACACUGGAGAGGCAUGAAGCAGCGAGGUGCUGCUGGAUUUCGAAGCCGAGACUGGGUGCAAGCAGGUGCAUACACUGGAGAGGUGUGGAGUAGCGAGGUGCUGCUGGAUUUCGAAGCCAAGACUCUGGGUGCAAAUAGGUACAUACACUGGAGAGGCGUGAGGUGUGAAGCAGCGAGGUGCUGCUGGAUUUCGAAGCCGAGACUGGGUGCAAGCAGGUGCAUACACUGGAAAGGUGUGGAGUAGCGAGGUGCUGCUGGAUUUCGAAGCCGAGACUGGGUGCAAACAGGUGCAUACACUGGAGAGUGUGGAGCAGCGGGGUGCUGCUGGAAAGGAAGUGGUGAGCCACGGGCCUAAAAAGGUAGGUGCCCACUACCGCCCUCUUGACUAAAGGCAAAUUGGGCAAAAAGGGUGGGGGGUGGGCUGGAAUUGGGAGAUAUCAGGACAAACGCAUGACUUCAUGUGUGUGUAUCCAGCCCAGUUCUGUUCCCCGAAGAGGCCUGGGGAGCAAGGACAACCGCAAGCCGUGCUCAAAGGUGGGGUCAGCAGGGACGUGCAGGUUUGCUUCCCCUGCGUCCGCCCGCUCCGCUGUCUCCUCUCGCCACGGAUGCACGGUCCCUCACCUUCCUGCCUGCCUCUUUUGCAGACAGCUAAGCAGCCCCCUCAACUCCUGCGACGCCCGGGACC
rnacentral:lncRNA from 1 species